rnacentral:rRNA from 1 species
GAUCCUGGCUCAGGAUGAACGCUAGCGACAGGCUUAACACAUGCAAGUCGAGGGGCAGCAUGAUUUGUAGCAAUACAGAUUGAUGGCGACCGGCGCACGGGUGAGUAACGCGUAUGCAACUUACCUAUCAGAGGGGGAUAGCCCGGCGAAAGUCGUAUUAAUACCCCAUAAAACAUGGGUCCCGCAUGGGAAUAUUUGUUAAAGAUUCAUCGCUGAUAGAUAGGCAUGCG